rnacentral:rRNA from 1 species
ACGGGUGAGUAAUGCUUAGGAAUCUGCCUAUUAGUGGGGGACAACAUCUCGAAAGGGAUGCUAAUACCGCAUACGUCCUACGGGAGAAAGCAGGGGACCUUCGGGCCUUGCGCUAAUAGAUGAGCCUAAGUCGGAUUAGCUAGUUGGUGGGGUAAAGGCCUACCAAGGCGACGAUCUGUAGCGGGUCUGAGAGGAUGAUCCGCCACACUGGGACUGAGACACGGCCCAGACUCCUACGGGAGGCAGCAGUGGGGAAUAUUGGACAAUGGGGGGAACCCUGAUCCGGCCAUGCCGCGUGUGUGAAGAAGGCCUUUUGGUUGUAAAGCACUUUAAGCGAGGAGGAGGCUACCGAGAUUAAUACUCUUGGAUAGUGGACGUUACUCGCAGAAUAAGCACCGGCUAACUCUGUGCCAGCAGCCGCGGUAAUACAGAGGGUGCAAGCGUUAAUCGGAUUUACUGGGCGUAAAGCGCGCGUAGGUGGCCAAUUAAGUCAAAUGUGAAAUCCCCGAGCUUAACUUGGGAAUUGCAUUCGAUACUGGUUGGCUAGAGUAUGGGAGAGGAUGGUAGAAUUCCAGGUGUAGCGGUGAAAU